rnacentral:rRNA from 1 species
UCAGAACGUCGUGAGACAGUUCGGUCCCUAUCCGUCGCGGGCGUAGGAAAUUUGAGAGGAGCUGUCCUUAGUACGAGAGGACCGGGAUGGACUGACCUCUGGUGUACCAGUUGUUCCGCCAGGAGCAUAGCUGGGUAGCUAAGUCGGGAAGGGAUAAACGCUGAAGGCAUCUAAGCGUGAAGCCCACCUCAAGAUAAGAUUUCCCAUAGAGUAAUCUAGUAAGAUCCCUUGAAGAACACAAGGUUGAUAGGUGAGAGGUGUAAGUGUGGUAACAUAUUUAGCUGACUCAUACUAAUAGAUCGAGGGCUUGACCA